rnacentral:rRNA from 1 species
UACGGAAGGGGGCUAGCGUUGCUCGGAAUCACUGGGCGUAAAGCGCACGUAGGCGGAUUGUUAAGUCAGGGGUGAAAUCCUGGAGCUCAACUCCAGAACUGCCUUUGAUACUGGCGAUCUCGAGUCCGGGAGAGGUGAGUGGAACUGCGAGUGUAGAGGUGAAAUUCGUAGAUAUUCGCAAGAACACCAGUGGCGAAGGCGGCUCACUGGCCCGGUACUGACGCUGAGGUGCGAAAGCGUGGGGAGCAAACAGG